rnacentral:rRNA from 1 species
GCCCUUAGAGUUUGAUCAUGGCUCAGGAUGAACGCUGGCGGCGUGCUUAAUACAUGCAAGUCGAACGAAGUCAGUAGCAAUAUUGGCUGAGUGGCGAACGGGUGAGUAACGCGUUGGUGACCUGCCCCGAAGAGAGGGAUAACAGUUCGAAAGGAUUGCUAAUACCCCAUGUGGUCGUUUGGAUUAGAUACCUUAUGACUAAACGGAUUUAUUCGCUUCGGGAGGGGCCUGCGUCCCAUCAGCUAGUUGGUAGGGUAAUGGCCUACCAAGGCGAUGACGGGUAGGGGACCUGAGAGGGUGGCCCCCCACAAUGGAACUGAAACACGGUCCAUACACCUACGGGUGGCAGCAGUAGGGAAUAUUGGUUAAUCUGCGAAAGCGGGAACCAGCAACGCCGCGUGCACGAUGACGGCCUUCGGGUUGUAAAGUGCUUUUUGAAAGGAUGAGGAAGGACAGUACUUUCAGAAUAAGCUUCGGCUAACUACGUGCCAGCAGCCGCGGUAAAACGUAGGAAGCGAGCGUUAUCCGGAUUUACUGGGCGUAAAGCGUGUGUAGGCGGUUUGACAAGUUGGAUGUGAAAGCUCCUGGCUUAACUGGGAGAGGUCGUUCAAAACUGUCA